CAGCAGCAGCACUGUUACUUGCCACAGAAGGUGCCAAAAAGGGGUAGAAUUGUAAAUUCCAUUCCAUUCCAUAGAUGGGUAAGGUGUAUUUUCCUCAGUACAUUGUGUGAAUGUUUUGAAUGUGAUGUGUGUGUGUAUUUGCGUAACGUGAAUAUUUUAAUUUAAAUAAUGCAACCAAUAAAAUGUUACCCUAUUUGUUAUAUAGAAUAUUCUCAUAGAAUGAUUGUUUGCUGUCCAUUGGAUUCUUUGCCAAAUGUUUCAGGGUGAUGUUUUGUGGACUGACUACCCUACGGAAUUAAAUGUCCUCCCCUAUACCAGCGGCUUUGUUAUUUUAAAGAGCUGGUCACA